rnacentral:rRNA from 1 species
UAUGAAGGGGGCUAGCGUUGCUCGGAUUGGCUGGGCGUAAAGGGCGCGUAGGCGGAUAGUACAGUCAGGCGUGAAAUUCCUGGGCUCAACCUGGGGGCUGCGUUUGAUACGUAUUGUCUGGAGUUCGGAAGAGGGUCGUGGAAUUCCCAGUGUAGAGGUGAAAUUCGUAGAUAUUGGGAAGAACACCGGUGGCGAAGGCGGCGACCUGGUCCGAUACUGACGCUGAGGCGCGAAAGCGUGGGGAGCAAACAGG